GACGAACGCUGGCGGCGUGCUUAACACAUGCAAGUCGAACGGAAAGGCCCUGCUUUUGUUGGGUGCUCGAGUGGCGAAGGGGUGAGAAACACGUGAGUAACCUCCCCUUUACUUUGGGAUAACUUCAGGAAACUGGGGCUAAUACCGGAUAGGAGCUCCUGCUGCAUGGUGGUGGUUGGAAAGUUUCGGCGGUUGGGGAUGGACUCGCGGGUUAUCAGCUUGUUGGUGGGGUAGUGGCUUACCAGGGCUUCGACGGGUAGCCGGCAUGGGAGGGGGACCGGCCACAAUGGGCCUAAGAGACGCAGCAGACUCGUACGGGAGGCAGCAGUGGGGAGUAUUGCACAAUGGGCGGAAGCCUGAUGCAGAAGCGCCGCGUGCGGGAUGACGGCCUUCGGGUUGUGAACCGCUUUCGCCUGUGACGAAGCGUGAGUGACGGUACUGGGUAAAGAAGCACCGGCUAACUACGUG
rnacentral:rRNA from 1 species